CGCAAUGGGCGAAAGCCUGACGGAGCGACGCCGCGUGGUUGAUGAAGUCCUUCGGGACGUAAAAACCUUUUAUGAUUAGAAAAGUUUAUUGAUUCAGUCAUGAAUAAGGGGCUCCAAACUCUGUGCCAGCAGGAGCGGUAAUACAGAGGCCCCCAGCGUUGUCCGGAAUCACUGGGCGUAAAGGGGGUGUAGGUGGUCUUGUUAGUCUCUCGUUAAAGCUCCUGGGUCUAUCGGGGAAAUGCCAAGGGAACGGCAAGGCCUUGAGGAUGCGAGGGGUAUAUGGAACUCAUGGAGUAGGGGUGAAAUCCGUUGAUAUCAUGGGGAACACCAAAAGCGAAGGCAACAUACUGGAGCAUUCCUGACAUCGAAACACGAAAGCGU
rnacentral:rRNA from 1 species